rnacentral:lncRNA from 13 species
GUAGUGUGUAUGUGUGUGAGUGUGUGUGAGUGUGAGGUAUGUGCAUGUGCAUGAGGAUGUCUGUUCUCACUGCAUGAGUGUGUGUGCUUGUGAAGUGGAUGGAACUGUGUGUGUGGCACGCCUGGGCACCAGUGAUGCCUGUUAAUAUAUAAGUGCACCUGUGUGGCAUGUGUCUGUGUGGGAUGCAUGUAUGGGGAUGCCUGUGUCUGUGUGAGGGUGAGCACACAAUGUGUGCUAGGUGAGUGUGUGCAUGCACAUGUCCAUAGGGUUGGGUGUUGGUGGCAGCCAUCAUCACAGCUGAGCCCUCACACAGUCUGGGAGCCCACUCACAUUUGGAGGUGAGCCCACAUGGGGGCAGCCAGGCCACGUGAAGGGAAUCGCCAUGACUGCGUCCCCCGUGUGAGCCACCUGGAGCAAAUGUCAGCAGAGGGUGUGGUUGUGUUGUGUGAGUGUCAGGAGCAGGUGCAUGUGGUUGCAUCGCAUGAGUAUGUCAGGGCAGGUGCGUGUGGUUGCAUGUCACAUGAGUGUGUCAGGGCUGCUGCAUGUGGUUGUAUGUUGUGUGAGUGUGUCGGGGCAGGUGCAUGUGGUUGCAUGUCACGAGUGUGUCGGGCAGGUCUGUGGUUGUGUCAAAUGAGUGUGUCAGGGGCAGAUGCAUGUGGUUGCAUCACAUGAGUGUAUGGGGCAGGUGCGUGGUUGCGUGUCACGAAUGUGUCAGGGGCAGGUGCCUGUGGUUGUGUUGCGUGGGUGUGUCAGGAGCACAGCCCAUUAGCCCCACACAAGUGCAGGGUUAGGGGAGUUGACUUCAUCAUGUCACUCAUCUGUUGGUGGCCUCCAUGGGCCAGUCCAGCCGUGAGCCUGGGGGGGGUCAGGGUACCCCAGGGAGCAGGUGACCCAGCAGCUCCGGCCGAGCCUCCGGGAGGAAGACCCCGUGCCCAGGCUCGCUGAUGUGCCACCAAAUGUUCUGUGUCUCUGAUGACCAGGGAACAGCAGGACAACUUUUGAAACAAAAUGAGACAUGGCCUGAAGCCCUCUCCCUGACCCACGCAUUGAAAACGCUGCCACGAGCCGUCCCUCUCCCAGGGCAUCAUCUCAGUGGGGGUGCCAGGGCCGGCUGGGGGUCCUGCCCGGCUCAUGGUCAGGCCUGUCUUGGCAGGAGAACGUGUCUCUGGCGGACAUCCUCUCCCUGCGGGACCGCGGCCUCAGCGAGCAGGAGGCCUGGGCUGUGUGCCGGGAGUGCGGCCUGGCCAUGCAGAGCGUGGCACAUGCUGCCAUCUUCCAGAGCCUGUGCAUCACACCGGACACCCUGGCCUUCAACACCAGCGGGAACGUGUGCUUCAUGGAGCAGCUCAGCGACGACCCUGAGGGUGCAUUUGUUCCCCCGGAGUUUGACGUCACUGGAAACACCUUUGAGGGUGCCCUGUCCUUGAGGUCAGAAGCUUCCGGAAGGCGGAAAUGCAGAGCUCCCUGCACCGGUGGAAGGCAGGCUCCAUAUGGCUCUGUGCCUUGAGGGUCAACUGCAUCCUCUGGGCUCUGAGGGGCUCCUCUCCCACGGCCACGCAGAGGGACCUGCAAGUGUGAGGCUCCCUGGCUGCAAGGACAGUGUCUCGGGGGGCAGGAGGAGCCUUCCUUAGUGCCGGCCGAGGGGGCUCUCCGGCUUCACACGCCAGAGGGAAGCUUCAAACAGAUCAGGUCUGGAUGUUUUAAAAGUAUAAAAAUAGCAGAAACAGAGCUGUCCCUUUCACCUUGGGGCGGAGAGCGUCGUCCUGCGAAGCUGCUGAGGAAAAACAGGUCAGAUUCCACACGUCAGAGCCCUCGGAUGUCAGAAGACACAGGAAAAGCCUUAGGAGCCAGCAACAGAGCAGCCAGCGCGCGGGCAAUGCCCAGGCCGAGGCCAGCCCUGACACACAGAGGGCAGCCAGCACCUGGCAGGCCCAGCUCAGCAGAGAAAGCACAGUCCUCACACGGGGACUCAGAGGAAAACAUUAGAACUGCAAGUAGACAAGAACAGAUGCUCGGUCUCAUUCAUAAUCACAAAAACGCAAAUUAGCUCAACGCCAGGGAGUCUCCCUAAGAGAUUGGCAGGGCUGCGGAGACUGGCGCCUCAGCUGCGACUCGAGAGUCAACCGGUGGUCGUGCAUCAGGAGGGUUUGCCGCAGCUGCCCAAGUUGUAAGUGGGUGUGACCAGGAACCCGCUUCCCCUUUCCGGAACUGCGGCUUUGCACACGUGACAUGGCUGUACAGACGCCGCCCUGGGACACCCACGGAAGCGUCGGUCGUGGCGGCAGAGCGUGGGACACACCCGCUGCAGAUCAGAGUGGAGGGCACAGACCCCGGACACGCAGGUCACCGGCGCCCCAGGGAGGCGGACGCGGCCCAGGCGUGAGAGGGUGGCAGGGCCCCCCAGACGGAGCAGGAGGCCCCAGGAGG